UGCAGUCGAGCGGUAGAGAGGUGCUUGCACCUCUUGAGAGCGGCGGACGGGUGAGUAAAGCCUAGGAAUCUGCCUGGUAGUGGGGGAUAACGCUCGGAAACGGACGCUAAUACCGCAUACGUCCUACGGGAGAAAGCAGGGGACCUUCGGGCCUUGCGCUAUCAGAUGAGCCUAGGUCGGAUUAGCUAGUUGGUGAGGUAAUGGCUCACCAAGGCGACGAUCCGUAACUGGUCUGAGAGGAUGAUCAGUCACACUGGAACUGAGACACGGUCCAGACUCCUACGGGAGGCAGCAGUGGGGAAUAUUGGACAAUGGGCGAAAGCCUGAUCCAGCCAUGCCGCGUGUGUGAAGAAGGUCUUCGGAUUGUAAAGCACUUUAAGUUGGGAGGAAGGGCAUUAACCUAAUACGUUAGUGUUUUGACGUUACCGACAGAAUAAGCACCGGCUAACUCUGUGCCAGCAGCCGCGGUAAUACAGAGGGUGCAAGCGUUAAUCGGAAUUACUGGGCGUAAAGCGCGCGUAGGUGGUUCGUUAAGUUGGAUGUGAAAUCCCCGGGCUCAACCUGGGAACUGCAUUCAAAACUGUCGAGCUAGAGUAUG
rnacentral:rRNA from 1 species